UGCCGGCAGAGAACGCGCCGCGGUGUGCUUUUGGGUCGUGGAUAGUCCCCGGGCCGCCUGGCGUUGCGAGGCUGAGCCGAGAGCUCUGCCGCGGCUGGGGCCAGCCCUGGCGCCCGUCAGUGCCCUGCCUGGCGAGCCGGGAGCGGCCGGGGACAGCGGGGCGCCCCACGGCAGCCGUUCUCUCUGCGCUGCCCAAGCUGCAGAAGGACUGGCACAGAGGCAGCGCGGUCUUGGGGGAUGGCACGGCAAAGUGUGACCAAAAAGCUGGCUCAAAAAGCAGGAGGAGCCUGACCCCACGGGGCGAUCAAAUCCCUGGAUGGAUGGAGUGGGCUCCAUCCCCAUCCUGGAGCUUAGGGCUCCCCAUCCUGCUGCGGGUACACCAAAGAAGAACUGGGCAACUGGCCUGGUUACACGCCAGGGGUUUUUCUCUGCCCUUGGCCCUGGCCUGGCAGCUCCAGCUUAGAGAGGGAUUAGGGUUUAGAAGCUUAGGUUUUGCUGGUGCUUAGGAAACGAAGGGAACCUUCCUCCCUGCCGUUACAGAUGCCGGAUGUUUUAAAAUUAACUCUCGUGUCCCCAGACACGCGGGCCAGCAGCUUGCUCAAGAAGAACACCGAGCUCCCACAGUAACUGGCGGCAAAAUCUUUCCCAGAAAUGUCAUUUCUCAUAAAGCACCAGAGAUUUCAGACACAUCCAGAGAUGGACUGCAUCCCAGCUACAUGUUUCAAAUUCAGGUUAUGCUUGUACACGUAAUAGUUCCUGCUAAAAUGUUUUCCAGGCCCCCUAAUUGCCAUGGCAAGCCAAGUGCAGAAGAGUGCAGCAGAGCCUUCUGCAUGCAUCCUGCAGGGAUUAAAAUUGGAACCUGAUCAUGAAGGAAACUAAAACUAGGAAAAAGGAAUUGCUGCCAAACCAACUUUCUUAUCCAUCACAAAAAGACAUUUUUGUCAACUUGCAAUUUCUUUAAAUGGCCAAAUAAUAUUUUUUUUUUAACUUA